GAUGAACGCUGGCGGCGUGCCUAAUACAUGCAAGUCGAGCGAACAGAUAAGGAGCUUGCUCCUUUGACGUUAGCGGCGGACGGGUGAGUAACACGUGGGUAACCUACCUAUAAGACUGGGAUAACUUCGGGAAACCGGAGCUAAUACCGGAUAAUAUUUCGAACCGCAUGGUUCGAUAGUGAAAGAUGGUUUUGCUAUCACUUAUAGAUGGACCCGCGCCGUAUUAGCUAGUUGGUAAGGUAACGGCUUACCAAGGCGACGAUACGUAGCCGACCUGAGAGGGUGAUCGGCCACACUGGAACUGAGACACGGUCCAGACUCCUACGGGAGGCAGCAGUAGGGAAUCUUCCGCAAUGGGCGAAAGCCUGACGGAGCAACGCCGCGUGAGUGAUGAAGGUCUUCGGAUCGUAAAACUCUGUUAUUAGGGAAGAACAUACGUGUAAGUAACUGUGCACGUCUUGACGGUACCUAAUCAGAAAGCCACGGCUAACUACAUG
rnacentral:rRNA from 1 species